GUGUAGGUGGGUUGUGGCCGUAAACAUUACAUGACUCAGGUAAGGACUGACCAACCCCUUAUGUGGCCUUUUCUAGUCACAAGCUCCAGAAAUCGCUAUAUUGAAAUGACAUGUAUGUGAUCAUCAUUAUUUGGCCCUGAAAUAAGAAGAGUUGAUUUCCAUGAUUUUUAAUAUUUGACAAACAUGUAUUUGUGAGGUGUGAACAAACAAAUCAGAUGUAGAAAUUCACAGCCGUUUAUUCAGCACACGGAGACACCUUCUUAGUCCUCUGUCAAUCAUUAUCAGGUCUGUAUUUUACACCCUUGCAGUCAGCAUAGAGAAAGCUUACAGAGAAGAAGAGAAAUGAAACAAUGUUUCUAUUUCUACUCCUCAUUUGUAAUUUAUGCCCUGGCUGUGCCUUGACGGAGCUGGAUUGUGAUGCAAUUUGCUCACAGGGUUUAUUUACUAAAAUGAGAAUGCAAAGUGAAUUCAAAGUGAAUUUAAGGUCAAAAUAGCUGAACUGGAAAAAUAACUCAGCAAUUCAUGCAUUUAAGAUACUUUGCCUUAAAUUCAAAAAUCACUUUGAAUUCAUUUUGGAAUUUCUCUUUAGUGAAUAACCCUGUAAAUUUUAAUAUAAAUGUAAAAGAAAAAUUCAACACAUACAUGUGAUUUUCAAUGUUUUAUUCUAAGGUGCAAGACAGUUCCCCUUUUAAACAUAAUACAGAUUAAGUUACAGCUCACACAUAAAAAAUAUUUUUUAAAUUUUAUAAGGCUACUUAAAAUCACCUAUCUCAGCAAACAAAUAUUUUUUUUAAUUGUAUUUAUCACAUUAAUUUUAAAUUUAUAUAAGUUCACAAUGUUCUUACAACAGCUUAUUUAAAUGCACUUUUGCUUAUUUAGCGCUAGCACUAUUUAAUAUAUCUCCCACGUUGGAAUUAGUGUAGGACCCACCGAUACUGGGUUUCUGUGACGUAGUGGUGAGCAUAAUACAAUAUGGCCAUUUGGUGGAACUUAAUCCCCAUGUUUGUUUGCUGAGAUAGGUGAUUUUAAGUAGCCGCAUAACAUUUAAAAAUGUAUUUUUAUGUGUGCUCUGCAACUUAUUAUGUAGGAAUGUUGGUCACUACGGCAGCACCAUUCCUACAAAGUGCAUGUUUCUGGUGUGCCCCCAAUUUCUUUUUACGAUGUAAGUUCCCCUUUAAACGUCUGACAUAUUACGGUGUAAAUCAUCAGAAAAGAUCCAGAUGUCUACAACAGAAAUCCACAUGCAAAAAAAUGAGGUGUUCAAUCUUACCAUCCAGAAAAAAAAAAUAGAUAGGAUUGGGAUAUUUUUAUUAACAUACUUACAUAUUCCCAAUUAAAAUUCUCCCAACCAGUAUAUAUCUUUGAUGUGAGCGUAAUCUUCAAUUGCAUAUUAAAAAUUUUAACGUCAGCAGCGUUGGUAAAAAGCUGACAGCUGGAAUAUGAUAAGAGGCAUUUCAUUAACUUUGAAUUUGCUUACCUUAAAAUGUAAUGCGUAUAUGUUAUGUUUGAUUUCUUUUUAAAAAAUAGAAAGAAUGAAGCAUCUGUGUAGAAAAACCGUUACCAUUUCAUCCAAGCAUUAAAAAUCAAAGACUGUGCCAUAGAGAGCAUUUUUUUAAAAUCUAGACAUAUCAAAUUGCUUUGAAGUGGGCUAGUUCUAAUAAAUUCACACAUUUGUAUUUCGGUUUUAAGAAGAGUUAUGUCACCGUAAAGUUCUUGAUUAUGAACAUUUUUUUUUUUUUUAAAGAGCUGUAAUGUAAAUUUUAAAGUGUACCUGAAAUGCAGUUAUGACACCGGGGCACGUGGAGGCAAUAUCAUUUGAUUUUCUACAUCAAAUAUUUUUAAAAGUGCACAACCAAAAUGGCUGCUUCACCUUUUCAUUGCUCCAUAACCUCGUCAUAGAAGGAAAAAAAAACAUAAGGUGUGAUUUAUCAAAGCAUAGUAAAUGCUAUUUUGGAGCAAGGAGGCAAUCACAUGGAAAUCAAUAGAUAUCUCUCAACUUUCAAGACUUUGUACCCAAAAUAGCACCUGUUUAGUGCAGCUCGUACUCGAUAUGAUACACCAAAUACCACAGGAUGUUCAUAUUCCCUCUAUGUGGCACAAAUGGUUUGUCAAAAUUUAAAAUUCAUCUGAUUGAUCACAUGGCCUUCUACAAGAGAGACUACAGGAUUCCAAAAAAAAAAAAAAAAGAUAUUGUGAUAAUGUUUUGAGACUAUACCAUUUCACAUUUCCAUCCUAAAAUAUCUAAAAAAAAAAUAAACACAGAAGAUGUUCCUGGAGGUAGAAAGAAAAAGGGACAACUGAGAAAAUGUCAUAUGCCUCAUUCUAAAGCACCCAUGAGUUUACCCAGAUCAGGAAUCAGAAAUGUAAACAUUGUUUCAACUAUCCACCAAAGUGUGCAAGGCAAAAAAAAAAAUGUUUUCUUUUAAUUAUUUCAUUUUCAAAAUUCUGAAAUGAUUGAUUUGAAAUUAUGCAAAAUGUGAAUGCCAUUAUCCAAAGGAUAUGAAUUUAGGGUGCUGUUUAGAAUAUCGUUCUCUGUUUGGUACCCUUAAAAUGGUAAUCCCAUAUAAGGAUACUGUUAGAAAAGUUGGAAACCAUCCCAUGAAGUAGCGUUCGUUCACUCUAAAACCUCAGCCUUGUCAUGAACUUAUUUUUCUGCCCAUACAGGAAUACCACCAUUUCAAGCAUGCUUGUGGAACAAAAUGUCGUUCAGAGCUUACUUUGACCGUUUAAUGGUGGAACAAAAGUUUUAUACAGAGAAAGUAUGUCUUGCUGGUUCCCAGGCACACCAAUACAAACAAUAAUGCUUAUCAAGACAUGAAUACAUUCAUUAUGCCUUGUAAAAGAGACCUGUCUUGGUG